AUGAGUGCGUCCACAAUGGCGCCAACCCAGCAGGCACUCGCCGCUGCAGCGACGUCACAGCCGCCGCACUUCGUCUUGGUCCCUCUCGCGGCGCACGGCCAUCUCAUCCCGAUGGUCGACCUCGCGCGCCUCCUCGCGUCCCGUGGCGCGCGCGUGAGCCUGCUCACCACGCCCCUGAAUGCCAGGCGGCUGCGCGACGGCGGCGUCGCCGACAAGGCCGCUCGCGCGAAGCUCCUGCUGGAGGUCAUCGAGCUCCCGUACUCGCCGGCCGACUACGGCCUGCCACCGGACUGCCAGAACGCCGACAUGAUCGCCAACAACGCCCAGAUGCUCCCCUUCUUUCUCGCCCUGCGCGAGCUUGCUCGGCCGUUCGACGCCUACGUGCGCGCGCUGGUGCCGCGCCCGAGCUGCAUCAUCUCCGACUGGUGUAACUCGUGGACAGCCGGCGUCGCCACUUGCCUCGGCAUCCCGCGGCUGUUCUUCCAAGGGCCGUCCUGCUUCUUCUCGCUCUGUGACCUCAACGCCACCGCGCACGGGCUGCACGAGCGGAUAGCCAACGCCGAAGACUGCGAGCCGCACGUCGUGCCCGGCAUGUCGGUGUCCGUAAAGGUGGGCAACGGCAGGCCCCACGGCUUCUUCACCUCACCGGGGUGCAAGGAGCUGCGUCACGACGCCGUCGCGGCCAUGCGUACGUCCCAGGGUGUGGUGAUCAACACCUUCCUGGACCUCGAAGAAAAGUCCGUGGCGUGCUACGAGGCUGCUCUCGGCAAGCCCGUGUGGACGCUCGGCCCGUUCUGCCUGCACAACCGUGACGGCGAGGACAUGGCGUCGCGCGGUGGCAACAAGAGCGGCGUCAGCGAGAGGGCGAUCGUCGCGUGGCUGGACAAGCAAGCGCCGGAGUCCGUCGUAUAUGUCAGCUUCGGCAGCGUCGCACGGAAGCUCCCCAAGCAGCAGUUCGAGAUCGGCCACGGCCUGGAGCACAGCGGCAGGCCUUUUCUCUGGGUCGUGAAGGAGUCCGAGCUGGCCUCGCCGGAGGCUCGUAUGUGGCUAGAGAGCCUGCAGGCGCGCACGUCGGGGCGGGGUCUCGUGGUGCGCGGCUGGGCGCCGCAGCUCGCCGUCCUGUCCCACCGCUCCGUGGGGGGAUUCGUCACGCACUGCGGCUGGAACUCGGUGCUGGAGUCCAUCGCGCACGGCGUGCCGGUCUUGACGUGGCCGCACUUUGCCGAUCAGUUCCUGAACGAGCAGCUGGCUGUGGACGUGCUCGGGGUCGGCCUCCGGAUCGGCGUCAUGGCGCCCGUGAUGAUCCUGAACGACGACGCGGCCGCGCCGGUGCUGCGUGGCGACAUCGCACGCGCGGUGUCAGAGCUCAUGCAGGGCGGGGAGGAGGCCGAAGAGAGGAGGAGGAAGGCCAAGGAGUACGGCGCGAAAGCUCGGAAGGCCAUGGAGAAAGGAGGCGAUUCGUACGAAAGGCUUACGCAUCUCAUCGAAAGCUUCAGGCACGUGGAGGCAAAGUACAUGAACAUUGCAGCGGGGUGA
rnacentral:rRNA from 1 species